UGGGGCUAUAGCUCAGUUGGUAGAGUGCUUGCUUUGCAUGUACAAGGACCUGGGUUUGAUCCCCAGUACCAUAA
rnacentral:tRNA from 1 species